UACGAAGGGGGCUAGCGUUGCUCGGAAUUACUGGGCGUAAAGCGCGUGUAGGUGGAUUGGUGUGUCAGAUGUGAAAGCCCUGGGCUCAACCCAGGAACUGCACCUGAAACUACCAGUCUUGAGUGGUGGAGAGGGAAGUGGAAUUCCUGGUGUAGAGGUGAAAUUCGUAGAUAUCAGGAGGAACACCAGUGGCGAAGGCGGCUUCCUGGACACUAACUGACGCUGAGACGCGAAAGCGUGGGGAGCAAACAGG
rnacentral:rRNA from 1 species